GACGAACGCUGGCGGCGUGCCUAAUACAUGCAAGUAGAACGCACAGUUUAUACCGUAGCUUGCUACACCAUAGACUGUGAGUUGCGAACGGGUGAGUAACGCGUAGGUAACCUGCCUGGUAGCGGGGGAUAACUAUUGGAAACGAUAGCUAAUACCGCAUAAUAUUAAUUAUUGCAGGAUAAUUAAUUGAAAGGUGCAAUUGCACCACUACCAGAUGGACUUGCGUUGUAUUAGCUAGUAGGUGAGGUAACGGCUCACCUAGGCGACGAUACAUAGCCGACCUGAGAGGGUGAUCGGCCACACUGGGACUGAGACACGGCCCAGACUCCUACGGGAGGCAGCAGUAGGGAAUCUUCGGCAAUGGACGAAAGUCUGACCGAGCAACGCCGCGUGAGUGAAGAAGGUUUUCGGAUCGUAAAGCUCUGUUGUAAGAGGAGAACGGGUGUGAGAGUGGAAAGUUCACCAUGUGACGGUAUCUUACCAGAAAGGGACGGCUAACUACGUG
rnacentral:rRNA from 1 species